UACGGGGGGGCAAGCGUUGUUCGGAAUUACUGGGCGUAAAGGGCGCGUAGGCGGCCUGCUAAGUCGGAUGUGAAAUCCCUCGGCUCAACCGAGGAACUGCAUCCGAUACUGGCGGGCUUGAAUCCGGGAGAGGAUGUGGAAUUCCGAGUGUAGAGGUGAAAUUCGUAGAUAUUCGGAAGAACACCAGUGGCGAAGGCGGCUCACUGGACCGGCAUUGACGCUGAGGUGCGAAAGCGUGGGGAGCAAACAGG
rnacentral:rRNA from 1 species